rnacentral:rRNA from 1 species
GAUGAACGCUGGCGGCGUGCCUAAUACAUGCAAGUCGAGCGAAUGGAUUGAGAGCUUGCUCUUAUGAAGUUAGCGGCGGACGGGUGAGUAACACGUGGGUAACCUGCCCAUAAGACUGGGAUAACUCCGGGAAACCGGGGCUAAUACCGGAUAACAUUUUGAACCGCAUGGUUCGAAAUUGAAAGGCGGCUUCGGCUGUCACUUAUGGAUGGACCCGCGGCGCAUUAGCUAGUUGGUGAGGUAACGGCUCACCAAGGCAACGAUGCGUAGCCGAACUGAGAGAGUGAUCGGCCACACUGGGACUGAGACACGGCCCAGACUCCUACGGGGGGCAGCAGUAGGGAAUCUUCCGCAAUGGACGAAAGUCUGACGGAGCAACGCCGCGUGAGUGAUGAAGGCUUUCGGGUCGUAAAACUCUGUUGUUAGGGAAGAACAAGUGCUAGUUGAAUAAGCUGGCACCUUGACGGUACCUAACCAGAAAGCCACGGCUAACUACGUGCCAGCCGCCGCUGUAA